GAUGUCUCAUCCACUUACACCUUGAGCAGGUCAGAGAGCGAGAAAAUGAGGCGAAAUCUGUAAGCUCUGAUACUUAGAGACCUUUCUGCCCUGCGAUUCCUCCACUGCCAGCGUGAGGCCACAUACAAAUCGGAGAAACAGCACUUCAGUGCUAUGUUAUUUUGUUGUGACCUGCACUUCCUGGAUCCAAUCCGAAAUCAAGGCCAUGGCCCAAGAGGAAAUAUGUGGUUUCAGAGGUAUCACCAGGGGUUGAAAGAGACUGUAUCUCCAGAAGGAUGCGGCCCUGAUGAAAAUUAUCAACCACCGUUCCGCUUCUGAGUCCAAAUCACAGCUUUCACAGACACAUGAAUACAUUUUGUUUCCAGUGCUUCAUCGGAACAAUGCUUCUUUUAUCCGUUUCUGGGUAAAGAAAAGGCAUCCUAUAAUAUUAUUAAAGUAUAGGAUGCUACAUACCAUUUUCUGGAAUGUGAAUAGCUAACUGGAGUGCAUUAUAGGAAAUGGGAAGAAUUGCUUCAGGAAAAAAAAUACCUUAUUGCUGAAUAUACUGUACAAGUAAUAAGAAAUGAGUGACGUUUUUUUAAAUGUUGUGGAUGAAAACACUCCAUGUUAAAUUUAAACAAAUUAGUCGACUAAAGUGUGGUCAUUAAUGUUUGGCAAUUCUGGAAAUUCAAACCCGUACAUUGUCACUGGAUUAUCAAGGCAGAAAAAUGUUUAUACAUUUUUUGUAGCUUUUACAUCUCUCAGGACAGACUUGCACUGCAUGGGUCACUCUGAAAUCACAACAUAGUGCCCUCCAUAAUGUUUGGGACAAAGAACCAUCGUUUAUUUAUUGGCCUCUGUACUCCACAAUUUGAGAUUUGUAAUAG